AGAUUAUGGCAACAUAAUUUAAGACCUCCCAUAUCAAAUUUAAUACCUUUUAAAGACUUUUUUAAGGUAUUAAAUGCAGAUUUGUAAAUUCAAGACUUAUAAGUCUUUUUAAGACUCUGCAGGAACCCUGAUUAUUGUAUCUGUGUGUAUAUUUU